rnacentral:rRNA from 1 species
UACGUAGGGUCCGAGCGUUGUCCGGAAUUAUUGGGCGUAAAGCGCGCGCAGGCGGUCCUUUAAGUCUGAUGUGAAAGCCCACGGCUCAACCGUGGAGGGUCAUUGGAAACUGGGGGACUUGAGUACAGAAGAGAAGAGUGGAAUUCCACGUGUAGCGGUGAAAUGCGUAGAGAUGUGGAGGAACACCAGUGGCGAAGGCGACUCUUUGGUCUGUAACUGACGCUGAGGCGCGAAAGCGUGGGGAGCAAACAGG